GUCGGAUUCGUUAACCACUGCGCCACGACGGGAACUCCAAAAUGUAAUUCUUGGGGAAGAAUGUUCUGGUUCCCAAAGCUUAUUAUUAUACCCAUUCUUCAUAUGUUGGAAGUUAAAGGGCAAAGACACUUCAGUGAAAUCAUGAGUAGCACAUUUUUUCUUUUUUUUAAUUUUAUGGCCGCAUCUGCCACCUAUGAUGGAACUUAAACUACUCUGGAUCUUUAACCCACCAAGGCCAGGGAUCCACCCUGCACCCUCAUAGAGCAACAUAAUUCACAACAGCCAAGAGAUGGACGCAACCCAAUGUCUCUCAGUGGAUGGCUGAAUAAACAAAAUAUGGUACAUACA